AGUGAACGCUGGCGGUAGGCCUAACACAUGCAAGUCGAACGGCAGCACAGUAAGAGCUUGCUCUUACGGGUGGCGAGUGGCGGACGGGUGAGGAAUACAUCGGAAUCUACUUUUUCGUGGGGGAUAACGUAGGGAAACUUACGCUAAUACCGCAUACGACCUACGGGUGAAAGCAGGGGAUCUUCGGACCUUGCGCGAUUGAAUGAGCCGAUGUCGGAUUAGCUAGUUGGCGGGGUAAAGGCCCACCAAGGCGACGAUCCGUAGCUGGUCUGAGAGGAUGAUCAGCCACACUGGAACUGAGACACGGUCAAGACUCCUACGGGAGGCAGCAGUGGGGAAUAUUGGACAAUGGGCGCAAGCCUGAUCCAGCCAUACCGCGUGGGUGAAGAAGGCCUUCGGGUUGUAAAGCCCUUUUGUUGGGAAAGAAAAGCAGCAGGUUAAUACCCCGCUGUUCUGACGGUAACCAAAGAAUAAGCACCGGCUAACUUCGUG
rnacentral:rRNA from 1 species